rnacentral:rRNA from 1 species
UACGGAGGAUGCGAGCGUUAUCCGGAUUUAUUGGGUUUAAAGGGUGCGUAGGCGGGAUGCCAAGUCAGCGGUAAAAAUGCGGUGCUCAACCUCGUCGAGCCGUUGAAACUGGGUGCCUUGAGUGGGCGAGAAGUACGCGGAAUGCGUGGUGUAGCGGUGAAAUGCAUAGAUAUCACGCAGAACUCCGAUUGCGAAGGCAGCGUACCGGCGCCCAACUGACGCUGAAGCACGAAGGCGUGGGUAUCGAACAGG